GACGAGAGCUAGGGGAGCCGCGCGGGAUGUGUUUUGCGAAAACACGUCCAGGGCGGCUGAGAGUGGGGAAUCAGCCCCAGACCCUGUGAACCUGACGCAGUUCGCACUGCCGGAGGGAAGCUGCAGCCGCACCCG
rnacentral:ncRNA from 2 species